CACAGGGCAUGAUCUGAACUGUCAGCGAAAA
rnacentral:piRNA from 1 species